AUUAAUUAUGAAUCAAUUUAAAUUAAGAAAUGAACAUCUAAAUAUUGCUCCCAGUGUUGUUCAAAGCUUAUUUUCUUGAUCUGACUAAUCGCUCCUGCCUCUUUGUGAACGAGAGGAAUCAUUAACUGUGGUUCGUUGGUUAUGUUUGCCUGCUUCCCCUGGAUCUUCCUCCCUGAUUUGCUUUUCAGCAGCACAUUCACCAUUCUCUCAAACGGCUAAUUCCCCUUCUCGCUGAACAGGCCGAGGGCGACUUGAAACUAAAUACCCCAACUAGCAGAUAGCUCUGCUGACAAUCUGAUGGCGAGAUGCCGAACAAAAGGCAUUUUCUUUUGUCUAUCUCUCAACUCCGGUCGCUUCUACAGACAUCCACCAAACAAAAACAUCACUCUCGGAGAAUGAGUGCACAAACUGAUGGACUGAGGUGAAUUAAUCUACAGCAGCCAAGGUGAUAAUGGACUGAGGUGAGAAAACCAUCAGCAGCCAAGGUGAUAAUGGACUGAGGUGAGAAAACCAUCAGCAGCCAAGGUGAUAAUGGACUGAGGUGAAAUAACCCUCAGCUGCCAAGGUGAUAACGGACUGAGGUGAAAUAACCCUCAGCAGCCAAGGUGAUAAUGGACUGAGGUGAAAUAACCCUCAGCAGCCAAGGUGAUAAUGGACAGGUGAAAUAACCCUCAGCAGCCAAGGUGAUAAUGGACUGAGGUGAAAUAACCCUCAGCAGCCAAGGUGAUAACGGCUGGGGUCAUUUUUGCUUGUUUUUUUCUGUUUUCCAAAUACCAUUUAAAAGUGUUUUAGUUGUGUAGAAAUGCAGUAAAUGAGAUUCAACUUUCCACACCCCACCCCUCCCCCCCAUCCAGAUUUGGUUGUAAACAAGCAAACUUCUCCUUUAAUGCUGUGUGUUCCCAAUGUUCUAGUAUUGACUCUGUUGCUGUAAUGGCAGAAUAUGCUCACUGGGUGGCAGAACUGGGGAGGUUGAAUUUCACAGCAGCGUAUUGGACAUCUUGGUCCUGUUUCUGUGGUUGAUGCAGCUGGACGGUGGAGUACAGAGGCACUUCCUGGUUUUUGGAGCGAGAGAAGUGGACGCUGGAGUAGUGAACAUCAUCCUGGUCGUAUGUGGACUCUGUCUGUGCUGCAGUAGGGGUCAUGUCCAUGUUUGAGAUGUUGUCAUACACUGGACUAGAGUCUCCCUGAUGGAAAGAAAGAACAGACAACAUGAGGAGUGGAAAGUUCCACAAAGAAUACACAGUCAUCACAGUCACCUUCUGAUUCCAACAGACUCACCUGUCCAUCAUCUGCUGUGUCUCUUGUGUUGGAGGUGGAUGUGGAGUUCUUCUUCCUGUUUUGAACAAGAAUGAAUGUAUGAAGAUAUCAAUCAAUCAAUUAAUAAAUUAAGUUACUUUUAUUUAUUUUUAUUUAACUAGGCAAGUCAGUUAAGAACAAAUUCAAAUGUACAAUGACUAAAGUGAAAUUAUAUAAAAAUAUAUGCAAUAUCACUCACCUGAACCACAUGAGUCCAGAGAGACAGAGGAUGAGAACCAGAACAACCACUAUGAUUCCUACAGCUGCAGUCAGAACUGAGGUUUGUUUCCCUAUAAUAAAAUAUGGAUGACAUGAGUACAUGGCAUGUUCUUAUAAUCUAAAAUCUAACACAUUAUAGAAUAUCAACACAAUACGUGUUAAUACUUUGGGAUCUUAUAAAACUUGUGACAUCAUAAGCCGAAACAUAAUUAUAAACCAAAGUGUAAUCAGUCAAAACACAAUGAUUAAGAUCAGCUUGAAACCUGUCAAUUUGUAUUGAAGUAUUGAAGAUGUAACUUUACCUGCUACAAUGAUCAUCAGAGUUGUAGAGUUCAUAGAUCCUCUUCCAUUCUGGGCCUCACAGUAAUAUUCUCCUCUGUCCUCAGAGAUGAUGUUAGUGAUGCUGUAACUCUGUCCUGAUGCUUUUGGCGAGGUUACGUUCUUCUUGUACCAGGUGUAUUUGUCCACAGGUGGGUUGGCAUCACUGCUGCAGGUCAGAGUCACUGAACCGCCCUCCACUAUUUCACCAGAGGGACUGACUGACACUGAGGUGUUCCUUGGGCCAUCUGGUGUUGAAGAUGACAGAACAAAUAAGAACUCAUAUACCAUAUGUAGGUGGGGUUGAGACCGACUGUACAUUGGGUUCUACAUCUCAGUGUGACGCUCUCCUCCUCUGACACAGACGUAGGAUCCAUCUCCAACAGGAUAUCUAAGAGGAAACAUCAGUCAUAUUUGACUCCAGACAGGCUUGUCAUGUGAUUAGACUUGUCCUAUUACAGUAACAACUGUAGGUGAAGUAUUACCUGUGACAGUCAACAUCACACCAGGAAGACCAGAAAAUCUCCCCUUAUUUGUUGUUAUUAAUCUGAAUUUGUAUUCAGCCGAGUCCUUCUCUGUCAGGUCUGUUAUUGUCAUGGUGUGGUGGUUCCUAUUGUACUCCACACGACCUGCAGACUCUGGAUAUGACCUGACAUCUACAGGGUGUUUCUGUGUAAACCAGAAUGAACCUUGUUCUAUAUAACAAGUGGGAUGAGUGUAAGAGCAGGAUAUGUUCACUGAAGACCCCUUCAAGACACAGAUUCUCCUCUUGGUGUAAGUCACCCACCAGUGGUUGUGACCCUGAACACCUGAAACAUAAAGAGGCUCUCUGUUAAUAGUUUUAACUUUUCAUGUCUUGUUUCUUUUGGUGCAAAGUAAAGAAGUAAACUGUUCAUUUCAAGUCAUUUCAGUAUGAAUCACAACCAUUUGAGCUGUUGGUAUUGCUAGAGUGAAACACUGUGUUUGAAUCAACACUUUUUCCCCACUUACACACUGCAGGAGAGGGGAGAUCCUCAUGGCCUUUUACAGCACAGGAGAAACUAUCGUCAUAGUUACUGGAGACUGGGUCUCUGUACUGGGGGGAGGUGCUCUCAUCUAGAUGUUGUCUGUUCUUGUACCAGAUGUAGGUGGGGUUGUCAGUCAGAGUACAGGUGGUGCUACAGGUCAGUGUGUUGUCAUAUAUCCUCUCCACCUUUAGAUCUGAAGGGAGAGGUUAUGAAACAAUAAUGGAGGAAGUCUGUCAGUCACCACCAUUUCACUGGUCUCAUAGAACAUGUAAUAAAUAACUUGACUUGUACUGUAAUAUUUAUACAGUACCUGUGAGACUGAGAGUGAAUCCAUAUGAAUAUUUCCAUCCUGAAUACUGGUUUGUUUUAUAUCUGAAGUGAUAUGUUGCUAUGUCACUCUGUCUCAGGUCUGUGAUUCUCAGGAUGCAGUCCUUCUCUGUAGUUCCACGGUAGUCCACACGACCAUCAAACUUAGGGUCCCAUCUCAGAUCAAAAGGCUUAUCAUUCAACCGUGUGUUAUACCAGACUAUCUCUGUGACUUGGGUCACACUGGGAACAGGACAGCGCAUGUCCACUGAUGACCCCUUUAAGGCACAGACACUCUUCACAGUAUUUUGUCCCAGAACACCUGAAACACAGUGUCACAGGAUUCAACCUUGAGAGAACUUCAUUUGUGACGUCAAGACUAUAAAAAAACAGACAUUACAAUAUUACAUCCAAAUGCAUGUAAACAUGUGCAGGAUACUGUAGGACCCAUCUACUCAAAUGUACAUUCCCUUAUAUCAUCCUAGUAUUCAUUUCAAUAUACAUCAUGGAAGUAAAAAGCAUUCCAGUCAAUUCAGAAAGUUAACCAAAUUACAAUUCCACAUUUUCUAAAUGUUCCUAAUUGAAAAGAUUUGAAAAUAAUUGGAAUUGGCAUUUCAGUCUACUUCCUGAAUUGAGAUGGAAUUGACCCCAACCCUGCUGGUGGUUGACAACCUUCUUAUUCUGCUACUGCUGCUGAUGUGCAGAAGUGUGAAUGGAAACCACAGAAAAGCAUCACUCAGUGAGGAGUGAAAUAUGACUAGUUAAAGGGAAGUGGAGACACCUAACAGAAAACACCAGAAUAACAUUAUGAUUAUUUUCCUUUUAGAAAUGUCUGUAGAUUGAUAAACAGGGAAACUAGAACAUUAUGAAUGAGACCAUACCUGCUACAGACCAGAGAAAGACCACCAACACACUACCUGCUGUUCUCAAGGCCAUUGUUGCAUCUCCCACCCUGCAGUCUUAGAAACAUAAACAACAACUCUAUAGCUGGUGAAUAACUCCACCUGAUACAUUGAAGUAUAAACUGUAAAUGGAGUACAGGGCCUCAUUACUGAAAAUGAACCAGGCUCAUAUUGUGUUGUGUUGUAUUGUGCUAUAUGGUUGUCUAUGUGAAUACUGUCUGUCUGUAAGUCUAUUGCACUAUGUAUGUAAUGUGUGUGAUGUGUUGCAUGUCUGUCUACGUCUAUCUACUUAAACUGGCAUGAUGCAAAAAUAAAUUCCUAAUAUAUA